CUCCACAGCCUUGUCCUCUCUUCCGUUCCUUCUCCUCCUCUUCCUUUAAACUUUUCUCCUGUCCAUCCUUCCUUCUUGUCCAAUGACAGGCCUCCUUCUAUCCUGUACCUGCCUCACCUGUAUGAGGACAUCAUCCCACCUCACAGAGCAUCUCCAUCUGCCACUCGACACACCGUGUGAGCUACCACCGCGUCUCUUCUCUCGGUGCGUCCGCAAAGAUGGUGGUGCUGGUUGGUCCCCAGCAGGGAGGUUACAGGUGACUACUAAGAAUUAAAGGCACAGAGAUUCAAAGAGCCCCUAAGGAGCCACGACUAGGAAACCGAAGGGAAGGAACAGGAUCUGUCUACUGUGAUAACACAGUAAACCCGAAAUGAACUCUGCAGAGGCCAGAGCAGCUGCAGCUGAGGGUGUGGAAGAUUGAGAGCAGAGGCGUUGAGCUGAGCCUAGCUGCAGAGAUAAAAAGGGCAAGACCAUGUUCAGGUGAAGGAAUGGAAAGAACAGAUAAAUAUCCAGAGGACGGGUGGUCCAGACUCAAGUAAUCCUGUCAACAGCAGGAAUGGAGCCUGGCUGAAGCCUAGGAAAGCUGGAGUCCCCUGCCUCUUGGUCCUUGAGGUACACAUCAGGUGUCAGACGGCAGCUGGGUGGGGCCUCUGCCAUCAGAUUGCCAGAUGGCUACCUUUGCACUGGGUCCAAGUGAAGGAGUUGUACCCUCUCUUUGUCUGUACAUAAGUGGUGCCCACCAGACUGUAUUCUGUGUUCACUAAGGCGUGUGGGUAUCCUCCACCCUCAAAAUGGAACCCAAAGCUAUUUAUGGAAUAUAGUCUUUCAGGGUGAGAAGCCACUGCUCUAUGCAACGCGAGGUCACUAAGAAUAGGACACUUGAUACCAACAUGGACACAGAGGGACCCCCCCUCCCCAAUGGGGACAAAGACCCUAGCUCUGGACUGUGGGAGUCCCAACACCAAACAUGGCUGUAAGAGUGCAAAUCAGCCUCUUACCUCUUGCUUUCUCUAGCGAGAUGGAGUGGCCUAGCAUGGCCUCCAGUGAAGCAUCUCUCUGCUGACAUCUGCUCAAGGGGCCACCGAAGACAACUUCUGACUUCAUUUGUUGGUUCCCCAGCAGCUCUUCGAGAAACUUUCUCAGAGGGAGACUCCGUCUUGAGUCUCUGCCAGGAGCAAGUGGGAUCGACGCUCAAGGUUCCCUCUCACCUGGAUCUGCCUUACAUCCGAGAGGUGGACUUUGUUGGCCUUUCCUGGAUCCCAGAACUAUAGGGGUACACACUCACGGCUUGCACACUGACUGAAGUGGCUCUUGAGAAACACUCUACAUGGCUUCUUCUGUCUUCCUUUCGUUUUGGUUUCUUGAAACAUGAGGGUCACAUAUGUUCGUUUUGA